GCCAGUGCGGUGUAGUGGUUUAAAUGCUGGACUAUGGCUCUGGAAGCCAGGGUUCAAUUCCCCACUUGGCCA